rnacentral:rRNA from 1 species
AACGAACGCUGGCGGCGUGCUUAACACAUGCAAGUCGAGCGAGAAAGGGGAGCAAUCCCCGAGUAAAGCGGCAAACGGGUGAGUAACACGUGGGUAACCUACCCUUGAGUGGGGAAUAACAUCUCGAAAGAGGUGCUAAUACCGCAUGAUAUCGAGAGGGCUCUGGCCUUUUCGAUUAACGGUUGGGAUCUUCGGACCAACCGCUCGAGGAUGGGCCCGCGGCUGAUUAGCUAGUUGGUGGGGAAUGGCUACCAAGGCGACGAUCAGUAGCCGGCCUGAGAGGGCGAUCGGCCACACUGGAACUGAGACACGGUCCAGACUCCUACGGGAGGCAGCAGUGAGGAAUUUU